AGUGAACGCUGGCGGUAGGCCUAACACAUGCAAGUCGAACGGCAGCACAGUAAGAGCUUGCUCUUACGGGUGGCGAGUGGCGGACGGGUGAGGAAUACAUCGGAAUCUACUUUUUCGUGGGGGAUAACGUAGGGAAACUUACGCUAAUACCGCAUACGACCUACGGGUGAAAGCAGGGGAUCUUCGGACCUUGCGCGAUUGAAUGAGCCGAUGUCGGAUUAGCUAGUUGGCGGGGUAAAGGCCCACCAAGGCGACGAUCCGUAGCUGGUCUGAGAGGAUGAUCAGCCACACUGGAACUGAGACACGGUCCAGACCACUACGGGAGGCAGCAGUGGGGAAUAUUGGACAAUGGGCGCAAGCCUGAUCCAGCCAUACCGCGUGGGUGAAGAAGGCCUUCGGGUUGUAAAGCCCUUUUGUUGGGAAAGAAAAGCAGCAGGUUAAUACCCCGCUGUUCUGACGGUACCCAAAGAAUAAGCACCGGCUAACUUCGUG
rnacentral:rRNA from 1 species